GGGGAGACUGCUCUAACUUCGACCGGGUUCUAACUUCGACCGAUUUCUUAGUAUGGCUUAUAGCGGUCGAAGUUAGAGCAAGCCGCUGGUCGAAGUUAGAGCAACCCGGUCGAAGUUAAAACCAAACAGAACGAAGUGGGCUUACGAGUUAUAACGAAGAGAAGCGAACCUACGGACCGGACGAAAACGAAUCGGUC